UCAGCUCACUACCUUCUCUACCUCCUGGUUUCAAGCGAUUCUCUUGCCUCAGCCUCUGGAGUAGCUGGGAUUACAGGUGCCUGCCACCACACCAGAAUUUCUGUGUUGCGAGGAGAGGGACUCAAGAUGGCGCUGUGAGAACAACCCAGGAUUGGAGCUCUUCUCGUUGAAUCCGCAAAUGGUGAGUCAGAGCGGCAUUUCCAGACUGAUCUUUGUUGCCCACAGAACGGGGAAACUCCCAAGUAUAAAAAAGACACGGGACGCCAGGCAGUAGGUCUGCCUGGCGAAGCCGGCAGCCGGGGCGGCGGCGGCCGGCCCUACCCAGCAAUCCCCACAGGGCGCGC
rnacentral:lncRNA from 1 species